rnacentral:rRNA from 1 species
CAGCAGCCGCGGUAAAACGUAGGUGGCAAGCGUUGUCCGGAAUUAUUGGGCGUAAAGGGCUGGCAGGCGGUUUCUUAAGUCUGAUGUGAAAGCCCCCGGCUCAACCGGGGAGGGUCAUUGGAAACUGGGAAACUUGAGUGCAGAAGUGGAGAGCGGAAUUCCACGUGUAGCGGUGAAAUGCGUAGAGAUGUGGAGGAACACCAGUGGCGAAGGCGGCUCUCUGGACUGUAACUGACGCUGAGGCGCGAAAGCGUGGGGAGCAAACAGGAUUAGAUACCCCAGUAGUCCCUGUCUCUUAUAC